AGUAAUGUUUUAUUUGUUAGCAUAGCAUGAUAUUAGAUUUAAACACUUAAUAAAUUUUUAAAUCAAUCACUUUGUCUCUGCACAAUGAACAUUAUCAAAUAUUAUUAAUGUUGUAAAAUAUAUUGUUCAUUGUUAGUUCAUAUUAGCUAAGGCAUUACCAAAUGUUAAGGAAUAAACUCUUAUAGUAAAGUGUUACUAAAUUUUCUUUUACCAUUUCCUUCACAAUGUCUAUUUAUUUCUAUGGCUAACAGAUUUUGUAACAUUUGUCUUUUUUACAGUCUUACCAUUGCUUGUAAACUGGAUUGGGUAAGAUGGAUCAUCUUUAAAGGCACCAGGAGUUAAGGCAGAUGUGGAGGCACAACGGGUGAUACCAGACACACACCAAGCACAUUAUGUUCGGACAUUCAAUCAUGACAGGAUCCAGGUGGAUGCUGUCCAUUGAGGAAAGAGUUUGUUCAGAGGUUUCUGGAUAGAAUUAAUUCCAAAGAUGGGAAAAAGUGCACAUCCAGACAAGGAGCAAGCAAAAAGACAAGGAACUUGGUGCAGAGAAAAGCUGUGGCCAUUAACCCCUGUGAACAGCUUCAUGCAGUCCCUGAUUGAGUUCGAAUGGACGACUUCAAAGUAAAGGCCACUGUGGUCUGUCUGCCACAGUUUAAUGCAUUUAUUUUUAGUGUUAAAUGAAAUUCAAGUAGAAUAUUUAAAACUAUGGGCCAGUGUUCUUUUUACCACAGUGAAAUGUUACCUUUUAGUCGAUGAUGGACUUUAAACUGAAAACUUCAAACUAUGGACCAGUGUUCUAUUUGCCAGAGUUAAAUAUGUUACAGCAGGGGUCUCCAAACUUGUUUAUACUUGUUGAUUUUAUUUUAUGUUACUUGAUUAUAUGUUUAUUAUUGUUUAAAAUCUUGUUUUAAAUAUGUUUGUUUCAAUUAAAUGUUUUUUUAAAUAAAAUUUUGAUACAUACAUUGCUUGGAUUGCCUUUUAAUUCAUUAUGUUUUAAUUUAGCAUUUUUACCAUAUUAAUAACUAUAGAUUUAAACCUAAAUCUCUAGCUAUUUUAUAUAAUAUUAUUGUAUUAACUGCAAUAAGUAAUAAAUAGUAUUUAUGGGUCAAUAUAGACAUUACAGUAAAUUACUGUAAAAAUAGACUACUGUAAUAAAAUAUUGUAAAAUUACAGUACAGUACUGCUUUGUAACUAUACAGUACUAGUUUGUGUACUGUAAAAUGGUAUUACAGUACAGUACUGUAAAACCAAAAUACAGUAACUUACUGGCAACCGUGCUGCCAGU